GCCAGUGCCUCUGCUUCCUACAGACGCCGGGUCCAGAGCCUUUGAUCCCUUUGGCCAGGAAGGCCACGGUUCUCUGGAAGGCACACAGAGACAGAGAGAGAGAGAGGCAGAGACACAGGCAGAGGGAGAAGCAGGCUCCAUGCACCGGGAGCCCGACGUGGGAUUCAAUCCCGGGUCUCCAGUAUCGCGCCCUGGGCCAAAGGCAGGCGCCAAACCGCUGCGCCACCCAGGGAUCCCUACAUGUAUUUCUUGAUGCAACAAUCUCAGUCACAGAGAGAGAAAGAGAGAGAGGCAGAGACACAGGCAGAGGGAGAAGCAGGCUCCAUGCACCGGGAGCCCGACGUGGGAUUCGAUCCUCGGUCUCCAGGACCGCGCCCUGGGCCAAAGGCAGGCGCCAAACCGCUGCGCCACCCAGGGAUCCCCUGAAUCACUAAAUUCUA